UACGUAGGGUGCAAGCGUUAAUCUGAAUUACUGGGCGUAAAGCGUGCGCAGGCGGUGAUGUAAGACAGUUGUGAAAUCUCCGGGCUCAACCUGGGAACUGCAUCUGUGACUGCAUCGCUGGAGUGCGGCAGAGGGGGAUGGAAUUCCGCGUGUAGCAGUGAAAUGCGUAGAUAUGCGGAGGAACACCGAUGGCGAAGGCAAUCCCCUGGGCCUGCACUGACGCUCAUGCACGAAAGCGUGGGGAGCAAACAGG
rnacentral:rRNA from 1 species